UGAGGAACAUGACCUUCGGCGGGGGAUAGCCGGCCCAACGGCCGGGUAAUACCGCGUACGACCUUUCGGGGACAUCCCCGGAUGGUGAAAGCAGCAAUGCGCCGAUGGAGUGCCUCGCGGCCUAUCAGCUAGUUGGUGGGUAAGUGGCUCACCAAGGCGACGACGGGUAGCUGGUCUGAGAGGAUGGCCAGCCANAGUUGGGACUGAGACACGGCCCAGACCUCCGUACGGGGAGGNAGCG
rnacentral:rRNA from 1 species